rnacentral:rRNA from 1 species
CCUACGGGAGGCAGCAGUGAGGAAUAUUGGUCAAUGGACGAGAGUCUGAACCAGCCAAGUAGCGUGAAGGAUGACUGCCCUAUGGGUUGUAAACUUCUUUUAUAUGGGAAUAAAACAGGGUAUGCAUACCCUCUUGUAUGUACCAUAUGAAUAAGGAUCGGCUAACUCCGUGCCAGCAGCCGCGGUAAUACGGAGGAUCCGAGCGUUAUCCGGAUUUAUUGGGUUUAAAGGGAGCGUAGGUGGAUUGUUAAGUCAGUUGUGAAAGUUUGCGGCUCAACCGUAAAAUUGCAGUUGAAACUGGCAGUCGUGAGUACAGUAGAGGUGGGCGGAAUUCGUGGUGUAGCGGUGAAAUGCUUAGAUAUCACGAAGAACUCCGAUUGCGAAGGCAGCUCACUGGACUACAACUGACACUGAUGCUCGAAAGUGUGGGUAUCAAACAGGAUUAGAUACCCGAGUAGUC